rnacentral:rRNA from 1 species
AUUGAACGCUGGCGGCAUGCCUUACACAUGCAAGUCGAACGGCAGCGCGGGAGCAAUCCUGGUGGCGAGUGGCGAACGGGUGAGUAAUGCAUCGGAACGUGCCAUUGAGUGGGGGAUAACGUAGCGAAAGUUACGCUAAUACCGCAUAUUCUGUGCGCAGGAAAGCAGGGGAUCGCAAGACCUUGCGCUCUUUGAGCGGCCGAUGUCAGAUUAGCUAGUUGGUGAGGUAAAGGCUCACCAAGGCGACGAUCUGUAGCGGGUCUGAGAGGAUGAUCCGCCACACUGGGACUGAGACACGGCCCAGACUCCUACGGGAGGCAGCAGUGGGGAAUUUUGGACAAUGGGGGCAACCCUGAUCCAGCCAUGCCGCGUGAGUGAAGAAGGCCUGGUUGUAAGACUCUUCGUCCGGGAACGGAAUACGCACAGUAAGUAACCUCGUGUGGAGUGACGGUACCGGACGUAACGAAGACACCGGCGUAACU